AUCCCAUUGGCUGAGGGUCCAAAAGGAAUAAGUGAGAAAAACCUAGCGAGGGCUUGUCUCUCUCCUCCCUGUCAUGGCAUGGGCUAUCCUGCUCCAUCUCUCCCCACUCCACCCCCAGCACCUUGAUGGACAGAACUUGUGAAGCCUCAGGCUGACGGCGGUCCUCCGUCUGUUUAUCCCAGUCAUCUGAUCACAGCGGCAAGCGAGAAGCACAACACAGCCUCUGAUAAAGAAGUCUCAGCUC
rnacentral:lncRNA from 1 species